rnacentral:lncRNA from 1 species
GAACCGGUGUCCAGGGACAAUGAAUAGGGUGGUCAGACUUUUAAAUUUCUGGGUUUCUGCACGAAAGAGACCGUCAGGCCUGCUCAAGAACCACAGAAGCUCUCUCCCUCACCCCUCCCCCUCCGGCCUUCUAACUGCCCGGCCCCGGCGUCGAUCUUCCGGAAAGGAGUCUGCAACCCUGUCCUACCUCAGGCUCUGCCUCCUGGGCGUCCCUGAGGCCAGCUUGGAGACUAGGAACACCAGUGAGCGAGGAACUCAGGACACUGCUCCCCACACCCUCCGGCUAUGCUUCACGGAGCACUCACCAACCACGCUUUGAAAUACCAGCCCCGGCAGCCACGGUAGGAGCGAUCACUCGGAGUACAGAGAACGCUCGGCCCGGGGCCUGCGAGGACACGCCCUGCGCGCGACCCCGCCCCGGGCGCAGCCCCGCCCACGGCCGGCCUGGGCAGGCAAGUCCUAACUGGUUUGGUGCUAAGGCGCGCGCCAGAGAGACCUGUGGGUCUGUAAAGUUAGUUUAAAGGUGCCCCGUUUGUCAUCAAAAGCCCCAACUCGCCCAGAGACAGAGGAGCUAGACCAGAGGUAGAACCCAGGUGGGGAGCGAAGAGGUGGGGAAGGUGGCACCUAGCCCACCAGAGGUCCAGAACUGAGGUCAAGACCAGUUUCUCUAGUCUAAGCCGGGAGAACCACUCUAAAGCUGCAGGUUCUAGCGGCUGAAGAAAUGCUAGAGGGGAAACUCCAGAUACAGUGUGGAGGGUGCCAGAAGAUUCCAUAGAGACAUGAGGGCCCUGCGAGAGGUGCCCAGUGUGGGUGGCAUAUGGUCUGGCUAGGAACUGUGCCAAAGGAUGAUGGAUAAAGGACCUGGACCAGAAAGCUAGCUGACCACGGAGGCACGGUCACCACCCCACCAACCGCUCCAGUGUUCCUCGGGACCGGAGGUCCAUCCUGGCCGGAAGCCGCGCUGCCGCCAGGCUCCAGGGAGUCCAGACGAAAGGCAGCGGGUGGGCCCACAGGCAAAUCUCAUCCACGCACGUCUGGGCUAGCUGCCUUCACCCGAGGAACACAGCCGUUCCAGACAGAGAUGCGUGCGAUGGCUGCUCUACACAGCGCUCGGAAGGUGCGACCACUGGAGCUAGGGGCCCGGGGUUGGGGGUGGGGAAGCCCAGAGGGCGCGGCGCUGGGACCCCAGUCGCGGGACCUGCGAGCAAAUAAAUGCCUACCUGCGAGCCGCGCCGCCGCACCUGCCGCAGGCGGGCCGCUCCUCCCGGAAACGCGCGCGGCGCGCCCCGCCCCUGCCUGGACCCCGAUAGCCCGCGAGGGGCGCGUACCCAGAGCGACCUUGCGGCCUUACAGGCCCGGAGACCCCGGGAUAGCACGUCCGGGUGGAUCCUCCACCAGAGCGCUGCUGUAGUUUUGUCCCGCCUCUCUUAUCCUGGUGACCCGACCCAGAGUGGCUAGCUCUCCCCGGAGAGCCACAGGGGGCAGCAAAGUUGUAUCCCUCACUCCCACCAUCUCCCCAGCUCCCCCCAAGACCCUUUUAGAACAAAAUCAAGGCUGGGGAGGUGCAGAUGCCAACCCCCACCCCGCCCGGAGUAUCCAGACUUAGGGUGCCAAGAAGUGUUGUGUAGGAAAAUGCGGAGCAGGAAAUAAACCAAAUACUUUCAGUGGCUGUA